CUUAUUGUUAAGAGCUGUUAAAGCGUUUUGAUUUCGACUCAAAAGGUGGAUUA
rnacentral:tRNA from 1 species